AUACGUAGGUGGCAAGCGUUGUCCGGAUUUACUGGGUGUAAAGGGCGUGUAGGCGGAGAUGCAAGUCAGGAGUGAAAUCUAGGGGCUCAACCCCUAAACUGCUUUUGAAACUGUAUCCCUUGAGUAUCGGAGAGGCAGGCGGAAUUCCUAGUGUAGAGGUGAAAUGCGUAGAUAUUAGGAGGAACACCAGUGGCGAAGGCGGCCUGCUGGACGACAACUGCCGCUGAGGCGCGAAAGAGUGGGGAGCAAACAGGAGGAGAUACCCUGGUAGUCCACGUUGUAAACGAUGAAUACUAGGUGUGGGUGGACUGAUCCCCUCCGUGCCGCAGAUAACACAAUAAGUAUUCCCCCUGUGGAGUGCGCUCUCAAGAUUGAAACUCAAAGGAAUUGACGGGG
rnacentral:rRNA from 1 species